UACGUAGGGAGCAAGCGUUGUCCGGAAUCAUUGGGCGUAAAGGGCGCGUAGGUGGCGGGACAAGCGUGCGGUGAAAGCUCGGGGCUCAACCCCGAGUCGGCCGUGCGAACUGUCUUGCUUGAGCACUGUAGAGGCAGGCGGAAUUCCGGGUGUAGCGGUGGAAUGCGUAGAGAUCCGGAAGAACACCGGUGGCGAAGGCGGCCUGCUGGGCAGUGGCUGACACUGAGGCGCGACAGCGUGGGGAGCAAACAGG
rnacentral:rRNA from 1 species